rnacentral:misc_RNA from 1 species
UUAAGUUCAGCGGGUAUCCCUACCUGAUCCGAGGUCAACCUUUGAUAAAAUUGUUUGUUUCGCGGCAGAAGGCCUCGCCGGACUCGUGAACGUUGUGGAAAUUCUACUACGCCCAAAGCCGAUGUGACUUCGCCGAAGGUUUCGGGGCACGACCCCCCCGCGAAGGGGGGACGAGGGCCCAAUACCAAGCUUAGCUUGAU